rnacentral:misc_RNA from 1 species
AGAAAUGUUACUGCACAGUUGUGCUGUUAUGGUUUCGUAAUUUUGCCUAGUGUUCUCAUCAAGUUCCCUUGCUAACUAAUUCUCUUUCUUUCCAGAACUGUGACUUGCACUUACUGUAAUAUAGUGCAGCCUCCACGAGCUAAGCACUGUCAUGAUUGUAACAAAUGCAUUCUCCAGUUUGAUCAUCACUGUGUUUGGCUUGGCU